rnacentral:ncRNA from 1 species
AUUUAGGCGAAGGGACUAGGUAGAUUGAGGCGGUGAAGAUAAGAAAUUUGUGACGGAAUCUCUUUAGGCCAAAUUGUGUAUUCGAUUGUCAACAAGUGAAUAUUUCCAUGCUACCUUGGGCUCGAAGGACAGAGUAGUCUAGGUUACGCAAAUGGUGAUUAUCUAUUCCAGGAUGGAAGGUGCCCUUGCUUUUUUUAGAGUAAGAAGGGUUAGAGAAAACAUCUCAAGCCUGUGCUCAAGUAUCAAGUGCUAUGGCAUUGAAGUAGCCAAAGCCAUACUUCUAGGAAAAGCUUGAACAACCUUCAACAAUAGGGCACCUGUACCUAAAAUUGACACAGGAGGGUAGGUAGAUACUACCUAGAGAUGGGAGACGACUCUCUAUAAGUAACCUAACAAAAUAGCCUCAUAACUUCGAGAAAAGGGGCGCCCCUCACAAACGAGGUUGCAAUGACCAAGGUCAAGCGAUUGCUUACCAAUAACAUAAGUCUACGGAAAAUUGUAAGUCAAGUUGGGAGCUGACACUUGCCUAGUAUCACGAGGUCAAGAGUGACCUAAUGAUAGAAGAGUCAACAACUGAGGUCUUGGUGAAUGGCAGCCGUUACUAUAAUGGUCCCAUGAUAGCACAACUUCUUGUUGGGUAAGUUUCGAACCGCACAAAUGGUGCAAUGAUCUAAGGAUUAUCUCGGAGAGAGAUAGCC